GGCCAUUAAGAUUGAAGUCAUCUUCGCGCACUCGAACAUACGCACGAUGAAUUUUUCGGUUAAGUGACAAUAAGAGACCAAUCGUGUAUUCCGCUACUGCGUAAGGAGAAUAAGCAGGAACACGAACGACGGUAAUUCCAUUAUCAGCAGCCGCUUUUAAAUCAACAUUAUUGAAACCAGCACAACGAAGAGCAAUCAGCUUGGUACCAUUUUUAGCUAACACUUUUAGUGUAUCAGCGUCCACUUUGUCAUUGACAAAAACACAUACAACAGGUGCUUUUUCUGCGAGGACAGCUGUUUUCUUAUUCAAUAUUGAUUCAUGGUAGUCAAUUUCAUGUUUGUAAUUUUCAUUUACCUUUUCAAAUGGUUCUUUUUCAUAUGGCUGAGCACUAAAAAAAGCGAUACGCAUCUUUUAAUAAAUUGCUUAAAUAAAUAAUGGGUAAU